rnacentral:misc_RNA from 1 species
GAUGAAGAACGUAGCAAAAUGCGAUAAGUAAUGUGAAUUGCAGAAUUCAGUGAAUCAUCGAAUCUUUGAACGCACAUUGCGCCCGCCAGUAUUCUGGCGGGCAUGCCUGUUCGAGCGUCAUUUCAACCCUCAAGCACAGCUUGGUUUUGGGACUCGCGUUAAUUCGCGUUCCUCAAAUUGAUUGGCGGUCACGUCGAGCUUCCAUAGCGUAGUAGUAAAACCCUCGUUACUGGUAAUCGUCGCGGCCACGCCGUUAAACCCCAACUUCUGAAUGUUGACCUCGGAUCAGGUAGGAAUACCCGCUGAACUUAAGCAUAUCAAUAAGCGGAGGA